UAAUACAUGCAAGUCGAGGGGUAACAGGAAGUGCUUGCACUUCGCUGACGACCGGCGCACGGGUGAGUAUCGCGUAUACAAUCUGCCUCAUACUAGAGGAUAGCCCGAAGAAAUUUGGAUUAAUACUCUAUAGUAUCUAGAAAAGGCAUCUUUUUUAGAUUAAAGGUUACGGUAUGAGAUGAGUAUGCGUUCUAUUAGUUUGUAGGUGUGGUAACGGCACACCUAGACUACGAUAGAUAGGGGCCCUGAGAGGGGGACCCCCCACACUGGUACUGAGACACGGACCAGACUCCUACGGGAGGCAGCAGUAAGGAAUAUUGGUCAAUGGACGAAAGUCUGAACCAGCCAUGCCGCGUGCAGGAUGACGGCCCUAUGGGUUGUAAACUGCUUUUAUACAGGAAGAAAAACUUUCUCGUGAGAGAGCUUGACGGUACUGUAAGAAUAAGGAUCGGC
rnacentral:rRNA from 1 species